CUUCGCCGAACCGAUCCACAGUGGACGGUCCCGGUGCUCCCGGCCGUACGUCGCCAGCAGCGCCUGCGCCUC
rnacentral:antisense_RNA from 1 species